CGUAGGGUGCGAGCGUUGUCCGGAAUUAUUGGGCGUAAAGAGCUCGUAGGCGGUCUGUCGCGUCGAUCGUGAAAACUUGGGGCUUAACCCUGAGCUUGCGGUCGAUACGGGCAUGACUGGAGUUCGGCAGGGGAGACUGGAAUUCCUGGUGUAGCGGUGAAAUGCGCAGAUAUCAGGAGGAACACCGGUGGCGAAGGCGGGUCUCUGGGCCGAUACUGACGCUGAGGAGCGAAAGCGUGGGGAGCGAACAGGAUUAGAUACCCUGGUAGUCCACGCCGUAAACGGUGGGCGCUAGGUGUGGGGGCCAUUCCACGGUCUCUGUGCCGUAGCUAACGCAUUAAGCGCCCCGCCUGGGGAGUACGGCCGCAAGGCUA
rnacentral:rRNA from 1 species